rnacentral:rRNA from 1 species
UACGAGGGGGGCGAGCGUUGUUCGGAAUUACUGGGCGUAAAGCGCGCGUAGGCGGCUUUGUAAGUUAGAGGUGAAAGCCCGGAGCUCAACUCCGGAACUGCCUUUAAGACUGCAUCGCUUGAAUCCGGGAGAGGUGAGUGGAAUUCCGAGUGUAGAGGUGAAAUUCGUAGAUAUUCGGAAGAACACCAGUGGCGAAGGCGGCUCACUGGCCCGAUACUGACGCUGAGGUGCGAAAGCGUGGGGAGCAAACAGG